GUCAGGAGGUUCAGAGCUGGCCCCGUUGCUUUCUAGACUUCUUGUUAGAGAGGAGCUGAGGGGCGGCUGGAUCCGCUCCUAGUCCCAGACUUGGUCAACGGCAAAGGGAGAGACAGGGAGAGAAAA